rnacentral:rRNA from 1 species
AACGCGAAGAACCUUACCAGCCCUUGACAUCCCGGUCGCGGGAACGAGAGAUCGAUCCCUUCAGUUCGGCUGGACCGGAGACAGGUGCUGCAUGGCUGUCGUCAGCUCGUGUCGUGAGAUGUUGGGUUAAGUCCCGCAACGAGCGCAACCCUCGCCCUUAGUUGCCAUCAUUCAGUUGGGCCCUCUAAGGGGACUGCCGGUGAUAAGCCGCGAGGAAGGUGGGGAUGACGUCAAGUCCUCAUGGCCCUUACGGGCUGGGCUACACACGUGCUACAAUGGUAGGUACAAAGGGUUGCUAAGCCGCAAGGUGGAGCCAAUCCCAUAAAGCCUAUCGUAGUCCGGAUCGGAGUCUGCAACUCGACUCCGUGAAGUCGGAAUCGCUAGUAAUCGUAGAUCAGCAUUGCUACGGUGAAUACGUUCCCGGGCCUUGUACACACCGACGCGUA